rnacentral:rRNA from 1 species
ACCGUACUCCUACGGGAGGCAGCAGUGGGGAAUAUUGCACAAUGGGCGCAAGCCUGAUGCAGCGACGCCGCGUGAGGGAUGACGGCCUUCGGGUUGUAAACCUCUUUCAGUAGGGAAGAAGCCUUCGGGUGACGGUACCUGCAGAAGAAGCGCCGGCUAACUACGUGCCAGCAGCCGCGGUAAUACGUAGGGCGCGAGCGUUAUCCGGAAUUAUUGGGCGUAAAGAGCUCGUAGGCGGUUUGUCGCGUCUGCCGUGAAAGUCCGGGGCUUAACCCCGGAUCUGCGGUGGGUACGGGCAGACUAGAGUGCAGUAGGGGAGACCGGAAUUCCUGGUGUAGCGGUGAAAUGCGCAGAUAUCAGGAGGAACACCGAUGGCGAAGGCAGGUCUCUGGGCUGUUACUGACGCUGAGGAGCGAAAGCAUGGGGAGCGAACAGGAUUAGAUACCCCAGUAGUCCUUGAC